AAGUCGAACGAGCGAGAGAGAGCUUGCUUUCUCGAGCGAGUGGCGAACGGGUGAGUAACGCGUGAGGAACCUGCCUCAAAGAGGGGGACAACAGUUGGAAACGACUGCUAAUACCGCAUAAGCCCACAGCUCGGCAUCGAGCAGAGGGAAAAGGAGCAAUCCGCUUUGAGAUGGCCUCGCGUCCGAUUAGCUAGUUGGUGAGGUAAUGGCCCACCAAGGCGACGAUCGGUAGCCGGACUGAGAGGUUGAACGGCCACAUUG
rnacentral:rRNA from 1 species